AGUGUAGGCGGCUAUUUAAGUCGGAUGUGAAAGCCCCGGGCUCAACCUGGGAAUUGCAUUCGAAACUGAAUAGCUAGAGUUUGGUAGAGGUAAGUGGAAUUCCGGGUGUAGCGGUGAAAUGCGUAGAUAUCCGGAGGAACAUCAGUGGCGAAGGCGGCUUACUGGACCAAAACUGACGCUGAGGCUCGAGAGCGUGGGGAGCAAACAGGAUUAGAUACCCUGGUAGUCC
rnacentral:rRNA from 1 species